UACAGAGACUGCAAGCGUUAUUCGGAUUCACUGGGCGUAAAGGGUGCGCAGGCGGCCAAGUGUGUGAGGCGUGAAAGCCCGGGGCUUAACUCCGGAAUUGCACCUCAAACUACGUGGCUAGAGCAUUGGAGAGGGUAGCAGAAUUCACGGUGUAGCAGUGAAAUGCGUAGAUAUCGUGAGGAAUACCAGAGGCGAAGGCGGCUACCUGGACAAUUGCUGACGCUCAGGCACGAAAGCGUGGGGAGCAAAAGGG
rnacentral:rRNA from 1 species